UGACAUCCAGCUCUUGACUGCAGCUAAUGC
rnacentral:piRNA from 1 species